rfam:Oryza glaberrima chromosome 8 Oglab08_0031_25, whole genome shotgun sequence.
UUUAAUUGCAAUUAUAGUUUUUUUAUCCAACGUUUAACCGUCCGCUGUAUUUAAAAUUUUUUUUAUGAUUAGUAUUUUAUUGUUAUUAGAUGAUAAAACAUGAUUAGUAUUUUAUGUGUAUCUUUUUUUUAUUUUUUUAUAAAAUUUUCAAAUAAGACGGACAGUCAAAUAUUGGAUACAGAAACCACAACAACACUUAAA